CUACAAAGGGAAGCACUUUCUC
rnacentral:miRNA from 4 species